rnacentral:rRNA from 1 species
AGCCGCCGCGGUAAUACAGAGGGUGCGAGCGUUAAUCGGAAUUACUGGGCGUAAAGCGUGCGUAGACGGUUAUUUAAGUCGGGUGUGAAAGCCCCGGGCUCAACCUGGGAAUUGCAUUCGAGACUGAAUAGCUAGGGUACGGUAGAGGGAAGCGGAAUUUCCGGUGUAGCGGUGAAAUGCGUAGAUAUCGGAAGGAACAUCAGUGGCGAAAGCGGCUUCCUGGACCAGUACCGACGUUCAGGCACGAAAGCGUGGGGAGCAAACAGG